UCAAUUGUAAGUGGAAGACUCAGCCA
rnacentral:piRNA from 1 species